AUUUUAUAAUUGAUAAAGGAUGUCAGUAUCUAAAAUCUAUACUUCAAGACCAUCCUGUAUUAUUAUUGAAGUUUAUACUGAAUAUUUAUCAAUGAAGGUCUUGGUAUCUUCCAUGGAUUUUUUUUCACAAACAGGAAGAGCCAUUUUUUGACAUAAACCAGGUUCCUAAUCUUUCUGCUAAAACCAAAAUAAUAACAUUGUUUUGUGUUGCACUAUCACUUGAUAUAACUUAUCAAGGUUGUAUAAUGUGUUCUCACCCUUCUGAAGCACCUGAGAUAAUCCUUAGUAAUUGGCAGGGUUGGUUGCUCAGUCUUUUGUUUUCUAUGUUGUGUUUUGUGUACUGUUGUUUUGCAUGAAAGAAAAGUUGUCAUAUCAUAUAAAAACAGUUUUGAAUAAAAUGUGGUGAACUGUUGUUUUGAAUUAAAGAAAAGUUGUCAUAUCAUAUAAAAACAGUUUUGAAUAAAAUGUGGUGAACCAUGCAUCAUUAUUUCAUCAAUAUUUAAACACAUAAAAAGACAUAAUAAACAUAAUAUUCAUUUUUAUUUCCUAAUAUUUAGUUAUUAUAAUAUAUCAAAACAAAGAAAGAAUGAACAACAACUAUAUAUUAACAUCAAAUAUACAGAAACAAAAAAUCAAGCAUAUCACAUUUACCCUGAAUGUUAGGAAUUCAUCACUUUUCCCCCAUCAUUCCACAUUUCUCUGUAUCAUGCAAUCACAUAAAUAUUCCACUUUUAUAACUGAGACAAUGAAAAAUUGAUGUAAAGAAGUAUAAAAUAAAUAAGUAUAGCAGCCAUCUUUUUCUUAUAAUUUAGAAAUAUAAACAUGAUAAAGAAAUACAUUUCAGCAUAAAAAGAAAUCCAUAAAUUUAAACUACUUUCCUCAGCAGUUUACCAUAACCUAGAAGUAAUGCACUAUCUGCAUUUUAAAAUGUAUCAAAACUUACUGAAUUUAGAAUAAAUUUUUAAUAAUGAAUGAAAAUAAUGUCAUCAAAGAAAAUAAUUUUUGAAAUAUCAAAAUUAUAUUUUACUAUUAAAAUACAAAUAGUAAAUAAGCAUUAGGAUAUUUUUUGUACUUGGUCAUUUUUUAACUGAAAAAUUCUAAAAAAAAUCGUCAUAUAAUAGAUUAUUAUAAAUCCCUAAAAAAUAUUUGAUCUUUAUCAAAAAUUUGUAAAAUAUAAAAAAAAUGGAAAGUAAUAAUACUUUCAUGACUUAAUAUUUUUUACAAUGAUAUAACCUAGUAAGACUACUGCUGAAUGGAGAUGCUAGGUUAUGAAGUAGUUUGUGAUUGUGAAUACUAUCAUAGAAAAUAACCUGUGGUGUCAAAAUCUAUUUCACAGAGUAAAUGUUAUAAUACAGAAAACGGACAACAAUAGUGUGUUAAAAAUAAAUAAGUUUUCAUCUAUUUCAUAGUAUUACAGUUAAAUAAUAUUCUAUACUGUUCUUGUUUAAUAGUAUAUGCCAGAAUCAUACAUUUUUUAAAUGUAUUUAUUUUCACCAUUUCUGAAACAACAAAUUUGAUUUCAAAUUUCAAAACUCAGGGCAAGAAAAAUGACAAUAAUGCCUUAUUACACUUGCAAUGGUGUUAUGAUAAAGGUCACAAUGUAUAAAAUGUUACUUCUUUAUAUUGGAUGGGAGAUACAUUGGAAGUCAAUAAUAUUUUGUCAAAUAAGUCAUUUAGAGAUUUAAAUAUGCAGAUUGAGGAUUGGAAUGCUAUUUAUUCCAUGCCCUUCAUUAUAAUAACUAAAACUCUUUUUUGCAAAACUUUCAAUUUAAGAUUGUUCAUAGGAUUCUACCAUGUAAUUCAUUUUUAUUGAAAUGUAAAUUAAAAGAAACUGAACUUUGUACUUUUUGUUCAGAGUUUUAAGAAAAUAUUUUUCACAUUUUUGGGGAAUGUAAUGUAUCACAAAACUUCUGGCUAUCCGUUAUAGAUUGGAUUAAACAUUAUGGCAUUCUCCUGCCUUUCAGUGCAAAAGAAGUCAUGUUAGGUGUGUCUGAGGAUUUUGUUAACAGUAAAACAGUUAACAAUAUUUUGUUGUUAUUCAAAUAUUAUAUAUACAAAUGUAGAUGUAAGAACAUAUCCCCCACAAAAUAUGGUGGGGUAGAAUAUUUAAAAUAUUGGAUUAAUAUAGAAAAAUACUCUGUAUGUUUCUUAACCCCUGUACAAAAAGUAACAAGAGGCUCUCAAGAGCCUGAAUCGCUCACCUGGUAAACAAUGCCUUAUUGAACAUAUUGAACCAUGCCAGGCAAACAUGUACAGCUAACAAUUCUUCAAUAUUACGAAUAUAUAUGACUUACUGUUUAUAAAUAAAGAAAAUGAGACCAAAACACAAACACUUAAAACUUAGCAAUGGACUGUGAAAAUGAGGUCAAGUUCAAAUAAAACCUGCGUAACCAACAUAUAGAUCAUUAAAAUAUUUUCAUACACCAAAUAUAGUGACCUAAUGCAUAAAGUAUAAAAAAAUAGACCAAAACUAAAAAAGUUAACUUUGACCACUGAAUUAUGAAAAUGAGGUCAAGGUUAGAUGACACCUGUCAGCUAGAUAUGUACACCUUACAAUCAUUCUAUACACCAAUUUUAGUAGACCUAUUGCAUAUAGUAUAAGAAAAAGUUUAUCUUUAUCUAUAAUGAUAUUCAAGAUAAUGACCAAAAACUGCAAAAUUUCCUUAAAAUUACCAAUUAAAAGUGGCAGCAACCCAACAAUGGUUUGUUUGAUUCGUCUGAAAAUUUCAGGGCUGAUAGAUCUUGACCUAAUGAACAUUUUAACCCCAUGUCAGAUUUGCUCUAAAUGCUUUCGUUUUUGAGAUAUAAGCCAAAAACUGCAUUUGACCCCUAUGUUCUAUUAAGUAACGGCGGCCAUGUUUUUUGACGGAUGAAAAAUCGAAGCACACACUUUGGUGCAGGAUAAUCUAAGGAACAAAUGAUUUUAAGUUUCAUUCAAAAUCCAUUCAGUAGUUUCAGAGGAGAAGAUGUUUGAAAAAUUGUUAACGACGACGACGACGGACGCCAAGUGAUGAGAAAAGCUCACAUGGCCUUUUAGGCCAGGUGAGCUAAAAAUGGAUCAGAAAUGACAUAUGUUAGAAGCAGCUUU
rnacentral:lncRNA from 1 species